GGCGUGGUGGCGAAGUGGUUAUCGCACAAGACUGGGGGUCUUUGUUCCUUCAGGAGCGUCGGUUCGAAUCUGGCCCCCGUGG